GACGAACGCUGGCGGCGUGCCUAACACAUGCAAGUCGAGCGGAGAUGUACUGAAGAUUUAUCGGAUGUACAUCUUAGCGGCGGACGGGUGAGUAACGCGUGGGCAACCUGCCUUUCACUGGGGGAUAACACAGGGAAACCUGUGCUAAUACCGCAUGACAUCACGUAGGGCAUCCUAUGUGAUCAAAGGAGAGAUCCGGUGGAAGAUGGGCCCGCGUCCAAUUAGCUGGUUGGUGAGGUAAAGGCUCACCAAGGCGACGAUUGGUAGCCGAACUGAGAGGUUGAUCGGCCACAUUGGGACUGAGACACGGCCCAGACUCCUACGGGAGCAGCAGUGGGGAAUAUUGCGCAAUGGGGGAACCCUGACGCAGCAACGCCGCGUGAAGGAAGAAGGUCUUCGGAUUGUAAACUUCUUUGAUGAGGGACAAUAAGUGACGGUACCUACAAAAACAGCCACGGCUAACUACGUGCCAGCAGCCGGGUAAUAGUACUA
rnacentral:rRNA from 1 species